rnacentral:rRNA from 1 species
GAUGAACGCUGGCGGCGUGCCUAAUACAUGCAAGUCGAGCGAACAGACGAGGAGCUUGCUCCUCUGACGUUAGCGGCGGACGGGUGAGUAACACGUGGAUAACCUACCUAUAAGACUGGGAUAACUUCGGGAAACCGGAGCUAAUACCGGAUAAUAUAUUGAACCGCAUGGUUCAAUAGUGAAAGACGGUUUUGCUGUCACUGAUAGAUGGAUCCGCGCCGCAUUAGCUAGUUGGUAAGGUAACGGCUUACCAAGGCAACGAUGCGUAGCCGACCUGAGAGGGUGAUCGGCCACACUGGAACUGAGACACGGUCCAGACUCCUACGGGAGGCAGCAGUAGGGAAUCUUCCGCAAAGGGCGAAAGCCUGACGGAGCAACGCCGCGUGAGUGAUGAAGGUCUUCGGAUCGUAAAACUCUGUUAUUAGGGAAGAACAAAUGUGUAAGUAACUAUGCACGUCUUGACGGUACCUAAUCAGAAAGCCACGGCUAACUACGUG